AACGAACGCUGGCGGCAUGCCUAAUACAUGCAAGUCGAACGAAGGCUUCGGCCUUAGUGGCGCACGGGUGAGUAACGCGUGGGAAACUGCCUAUUGGUGGGGAAUAACGACGGGAAACUGUCGCUAAUACCGCAUAAGCCCUUCGGGGGAAAGAUUUAUCGCCGAUAGAUGUGCCCGCGUCCGAUUAGCUAGUUGGUGAGGUAAUGGCUCACCAAGGCGACGAUCGGUAGCCGGUCUGAGAGGAUGAUCAGCCACACUGGGACUGAGACACGGCCCAGACUCCUACGGGAGGCAGCAGUGGGGAAUAUUGGACAAUGGGCGAAAGCCUGAUACAGCAAUGCCGCGUGAGUGAUGAAGGCCUUAGGGUUGUAAAGCUCUUUCGGGUGGGACGAUGAUGACGGUACCAUCAGAAGAAGCCCCGGCUAACUUCGUGCCAGCCGCCGCGGUAA
rnacentral:rRNA from 1 species